rnacentral:rRNA from 1 species
ACGCACGCUGGCGGCGUGCUUAACCCCUGCCAGUCGAACGAAAAGAGGGAAAGAGCUUGCUCUUUCCGGAAUUGAGUGGCAAACGGGUGAGUAACACGUAAACAACCUGCCUUCAGGAUGGGGACAACAGACGGAAACGACUGCUAAUACCGAAUAAGUUCCAAGAGCCGCAUGGCCCAUGGAAGAAAAGGUGGCCUCUACCUGUAAGCUAUCGCCUGAAGAGGGGUUUGCGUCUGAUUAGCUGGUUGGAGGGGUAACGGCCCACCAAGGCGACGAUCAGUAGCCGGUCUGAGAGGAUGAACGGCCACACUGGAACUGAGACACGGUCCAGACUCCUACGGGAGGCAGCAGUGGGGAAUCUUCCGCAAUGGGCGAAAGCCUGACGGAGCAACGCCGCGUGAGUGAUGACGGCCUUCGGGUUGUAAAACUCUGUGAUCCGGGACGAAAAGGCAGAGUGCGAAGAACAAACUGCAUUGACGGUACCGGAAAAGCAAGCCACGGCUAACUACGUG